rnacentral:rRNA from 1 species
AGCGAACGCUGGCGGCAGGCUUAACACAUGCAAGUCGAGCGGGCAUCCUUGUGGUGUCAGCGGCAGACUGGUGAGUAACGCGUGGGAACGUGCCCUUCGGUUCGGAAUAACUCAGGGAAACUUGAGCUAAUACCGGAUACGUGCGAGAGCAGAAAGGUUUAUCUGCCGAAGGAUCGGCCCGCGUCUGAUUAGCUAGUUGGUGAGGUUAUGGCUCACCAAGGCGACGAUCAGUAGCUGGUCUGAGAGGAUGAUCAGCCACACUGGGACUGAGACACGGCCCAGACUCCUACGGGAGGCAGCAGUGGGGAAUAUUGGACAAUGGGGGCAACCCUGAUCCAGCCAUGCCGCGUGAGUGAUGACGGCCUUAGGGUUGUAAAGCUCUUUUCUCCGGGACGAUAAUGACGGUACCGGAGGAAUAAGCCCCGGCUAACUUCGUG